CAGACACACACACACACCCCUCUCACCGUCCCCAUUAUAGCUGUGCUAUGGCCCUGACCAUGUAGCCCUCUGGUUCCGGUUCAGUUCCAGCCUUCCUUUCCUUGGCAAGUGCUUGGCUUCUCUGCACUCCAGUUUCUUGCCUGUCCGCUAAGGGAGCUCCCGUACACACUACAGAGGCUGUCGGUGGUCAGUGCUCCUCAGGCACUCCCCGACUUUGUUAUUCCCCCAGUCUGCCUGCUCCCUGCCCCAUCCUCUCUGAAGCCUAAGACUCCUGGCUGGUGGACAAAUGACAAGGUCCCUGCUGCCACUCCACCUCUGAGGCCAAAGGUCACUUGUUCCCCUUGAGGGCCCUGGACAUUUCCCGCACACCGUACCCACACACCCCCAGGGACUCUGCCCUGCAUUCCAGUGCUGCUGUUAAUCCAAGCUGCAGAGGAAACCCAAGUUCCCUGUAUAGCUAGAGCCCCCAGAAGGAAUGGAGUCAUCCCAGUCACACUGACCAGAGGGAACUGUGGCCCACUUCCUAACUCUUUGGGGCAUAUGUCUCCCUGGAUUUCCCCAUGCAAGAGAGCUGUUUAAAUAACUACGUACGAGGUGUGAUUGAAAAAUAUGGUGAUCGGAUCACAGCGGCGUGAGGCUGGCCAGCGGGUUCAUCCACAGAUGAGCACAGCAGCAGAGUGUGCCGGUUACAGGCUGGUCCCUGCAGGUUUGACCGGAAGGAGUUUUCUUGUCCUGGGCUCUUCCUUCCUGGCCACCACGUGUGAGCAGCUUUUCAUCCAUCCACCAUAUUCUUCUGCCAUGUCGUUUCUGCCUUGGAGCCAGCCAACCAUGGGCUGACACCUCUGCUCCUUUAAAUUGUGGCUGUGGAAAAGUGACUGAGACAGGAGGUUUGCCGUCCACUCUGCUGACCUAAGGUUCACUGGUCAAAAAGGCAGGACGAGUGGGAGUGCUUUGAGGACGCACCCCAUACAAAGCCGGUAAGUAGAAGGGUGAUGGGGUGCACCCCAGGUGAUGUCAUCGCAAACAACAGCAAACUACUGGGGAAACCACCGACUCUCAUGGUGCACCCCACAUCUGCAGGGGAGACCUUCUCAGAACUUGGGGAAGUUCUUGGAAUUGCAUUUAGGGCCUGGUGAUGGGCAACUCCAUGGAGCCUCAGGGGCACACGGGUUGCCUGAAUGGUUACUUCAGGAGGUAAAUUUAUAGGCAACUCACAAUCACAUCACAAUCACAUGGCAUAUUUGUACACCUUGUUCAUACAGUUUUAGGCCUGAAAUAAUAACAGUGUUCAUUUUACAGAGCUUUUGUCUACAGAGACUCAGUGUGUGGGUGACUAGUUUCUAGGUCACGUGGCCAGUUCAUAUCAGUGAUGGAUAGGGCUCAAAUCCAGGGCUCUGUCUGCAGCUUACAUCGGUGUCUGCUCUGCAGACCUGGCUGCCAUCUCCUCCACAGCCCCCGACCCCUUCUCUUUCAGGGGUCUUUGCUUUGGGGCCUGCUUUAGUGGUUUCUGUUGCUUAACCCAACCUUUCCUAAAAAAUCAAAGCAGAAUUCUCUUUCUAAAGAGAAUGCCCUGGAAUGCAGAAUUCUCUCUGGGAAACGCUCGUUUCUGAGAGCUGAGGCUGGGCUGCCUGCUCGGAGGCUCUGCGGCCUGAGUGAGGCAGACUUUGCGAUUCCCACAUUUCUGAGUCACCGAGAAGGUGAUCGUGGUCAUGGACAGCUUUCGCGUGGAUUCUGAAUGCUGAGGACAGGCCAGAAGGAGGGCAGUCUUCGUUUAUAAUAAGACUCACAUACCAAAUUUUACAGGACACUUCACGUGCUACCAAUUCUUUUCACACCAUCACCACAUUUAAUCCUUACGAUAAUCCGUGUUAUGGUCCCCACUUUAAAGGUAGGGGAAAUUUUGGUGUACAAAUCUGUCGUUGUCUUGUCUGGGAUCCCAGGCCGAUAUCCAACAGGUGGGACAAAACUGGGUUCUUCCCUCUGCAAACACGGGACUUCACCGAUGACAAUUUGUGGCUUUCCCUGGGUGAGGAGACAAAAGAGCCCUCCCAGGUGGAUUAACCGGGCACUUCUAGUGGGAAUCCUCUCACUCCCAAUUCCUGUAACACUGUUACUCGUCUCUUCUCCAAGAAUCAGAAAAUCGGUCAAAGACAUCAAAGAGACCCUCAGCCGCAGUCCAGCAGGUGCCUGGCGACAGGCGGAGGUGGCAUGCAAAGACCCCAGGGUCAGGUCUGGAGCUUUGAGCUCAGGAGCCUCCACACCAGCGCGGUCACAGAGGAGCACCAGUUCUCUCCUGGACGCCUGGGGGCUUUGAGCUGAGGGUCUGCCGCAGGACUCCCUCCAAGGAGUUUCCAGUUCGUUAGGAAGAGCACAACUGUUUUGACGUCUGUGGUUGUUGCACAAAACAGAAAGGAAUCGAGGGCCUGGCUGUCCGAAGCCAGGUGGGAGAGGACUUCACAGAGGAAGUGGACUUGAGCACCAGCAGGACCCCAGGGCAGAGGAAAAAGCAGCAGAGCAGGCAGGGCUGGGCCGCGAGCUCCUCUGUGAGCGCUCUGGACCUUCCGUGUGCAACACAGAUCUGAGCUUGGCGCCCAUGACCUCCUCUUCGGGAAAGGGCCACCCCCUUGUUUCCUUGUCCCGAUCUCACUUGUGCCCCACGUGUCUGCUUGUUAACCCUGAUUCCCCUGUUGUUCUGCUGUGAACCCCGCACCCCAGGCUUUCUGUCUCCGGCUUCAUGGUACUAACCCAGCGUAUCUCCUGCUGAGCCUGGGUCCUGGCCAGGCCACAGCCCGGGAGGACAGGGAUGUUACUUUUCAGAGCUGUCUGUUGAAUAGAGAUGAAAGAUGGAAAUACUGACUGAGGGAAUCUGCAACAAGUAGUCUUGCCAGAGGUUCACCAAGAG